rnacentral:rRNA from 1 species
AUACGGAGGGUGCAAGCGUUGUCCGGAUUUAUUGGGUUUAAAGGGUGCGUAGGCGGCUUGACAAGUCAGUGGUGAAAUCCUCCCGCUCAACGGGAGAACUGCCAUUGAAACUGUAAGGCUUGAGGACAGUCGAGGUAGGCGGAAUUUAUGGUGUAGCGGUGAAAUGCAUAGAUACCAUAAAGAACACCGAUAGCGAAGGCAGCUUACUAGACUGUAUCUGACGCUGAGGCACGAAAGCGUGGGGAGCGAACAGGAUUAGAAACCCGGGUAGUCC